UAAGUGUUAAUUAAACUUACCAGGGUAUUAAUAGUUAAGGUCUUUAAACCCAAAGAAUUUGGCGGUAUCUCAUACCAUUCAGAGGAACCUAUCCCGUGAUUGACAGUACACGAUUAACUUUACUUAAUUUAUUUGUUUGUAUAUCUCCGUUAUCAGAAGAUCUUUUUAGAGUUAUAAUUUUCUUGAUUUAUAAUUAUAAAUUAUUUCAGGUCAAGGUGCAGCUUAUAAUUAAGAGGAGAUGGGUUACAAUAGGUUUUUGUUUAUAACGGAUUUGAUAAUGAAAUUCUAUUAAUGAAGGUGGAUUUGAUAGUAAUUUGACAUAUUUAAUUUAAUUGAUAUUGGCUCUGAGGU
rnacentral:rRNA from 1 species